rnacentral:rRNA from 1 species
UACAGAGGUCCCAAGCGUUGUUCGGAUUUACUGGGCGUAAAGGGUGCGUAGGAGGCUUGGAAAGUCAGGUGUGAAAUCUCACCGCUUAACGGUGAAAUGGCGCUUGAUACUCCCGAGCUAGAAGAUCGGAGGGGAGAACGGAAUUCCUGGUGUAGCGGUGAAAUGCGUAGAUAUCAGGAGGAACACCAACGGCGAAGGCAGUUCUCUGGACGAUUCUUGACUCUGAGGCACGAAGGCCAGGGGAGCAAACGGG